rnacentral:lncRNA from 1 species
GAAGAGAUUUCUACUCUUGAGGUGAGUUUUGCCCAUUUUGCUAGAUGCUUAAUGUUUGAGCUUUUCGCUCUUCGUUUCGUUUGGAUGACACUCUUUUUGAUGUUCCUAGGGUGCUAGAAAGCUUGUAGAAACCUCCGUUGGAGCAAACGAAAAGCUUCGUUGUCGUCGGUGGGUUUGACCUAGCCUAUAAUAUGAGAAAAUCUCAUAUUUGGUGAUAAGUGCUUGGUUUACUAAUAAUUCAUGCAUUUUUAUAUUAAAUACAUUUAUUAUGAGUUUUAGAAUGCUUAAAAUGCAUAAGUUAUACAUGAUGAAUUUUUGGACCUCUAUGUAGUAGAGAGUUGCUUGAGAGAUCUUUGGUUGCAUUUAGCAUUCUAUAUGAGGUUUGAUUUCAUGGUUCUAGAGAGUAAAUGAGCUAUGAUUCAUGCGUUUAAACAUAAGUUUAAUUGGGACAUGAAAGAUGACAAUUGCUACAAUUGUAGGCAUCGAACUUGAUAUCAUGUGAAAUGGAGAGCUAAUGUCAUCAAGCGGCAUUGAGCUCAGGACUUGUGAGAUCCUAGUGGAUAGGGCCAUUGAGGGAUUUGGAAAACGUGUUGAACAUCAAAUUGCCUAAGUGUCAUCAAGGGGCACUAGGCGUAGCAACUGUUGAAACUUCACAUUGUGACUUAGACUAGAUCUUCGGGAUGCUAGUUAUGAUACCAUGUUAGAGACAUGAGGAUUGGAUAUUUGAGACUUGGACUAUGCUUGCUUGCCAUUUGUGCUCAUUCGCACAUGCUUGUGAGGGUCGCUCCCUACAAGCCGGCACUCCGGAGUCAGCCUGCGCGACUUUUGAUCGCUUGUGCGGUAUUGAGAAGCCUACGGGGUCGAGUGGGACAGACACAUUCCAAGAGUAGGAAUGUCGGGCUACCACAGGCACUUAGGCGGCACAAGCUGGACUACCUUGGGUAAGUCCCUAAUUGGAAAUGGAAAUCGACACGGGGUUGAGGAUGAAUGAUCACUACUAGAUAGACUUAGUAGUUGGGUUACAUUACAUGCUUUUAGCAUAGUGUGAGACAUGUAGUAUACGUGGUUGCCAUAUUAGAACUACAACAUUAUGUAUUGACAAAGGUUAACAACAUUAAACUAGUGUGAUUGGACUUAAUUGUGAUGAUAGAAUAGAUGUACAUUUUGGUUGACAUCAUGCUUAUUUGAGACACAGUAGACUAGCAUUUCAUUUAUGCUAUCUUUCAGCAGUUUAUGUAUAUGCUCCUUAUUGCUUUUAUUAUUAUCGUUACUUACCCUUGUUUUUGGGGCCUAGUGGAGCAAGAGCUGAGGUCAGUAAUUGCCCACUGGGAACUAUAAAUUAUAGUUCUCACGCCCUCUUUUUCUCGAUGUUUUUCAGAGCCUUCCACUCAGGGAGAGGCCAGGGAUCGCGGAAAGGGUAUCGCCUCGGGCUAGCGUGCUUACCGAGGGAUCGUUCGAUAGGUGGUCUACCUCUCGUGUUAUCUUUUUGUGAGAGGUUGAGAGUUGUACCCGUAUAUGCAUAGAGACCACCAUUUUUGUACUAGAGACAGAUAUUGUACUACUUAUGAUUUCCUUUGUUGUCUAUCCUUAUCUGCUUACUUUGGUGUAGAUGCUAGAACUAUAUUCGCUCUGAUAUCAUUAGUUGCUGGUUACUUCACUUCUUUUAUUUGUUCUAUUUCUCGCUUUUCUUCCGCUCUUAUUGUAGACGCCUUAUAUGUGUAGACAUAUGGCGGGUCUGGGCACGCUACAUGGAGGGCCUCCGCCGGUCCCGGGGCGUGACAUCAAUAGUUUGAAUGCUUUGGAUUAUGCUUGAGUAUUUGAUCUCCUCAUCUUUUCUAUAUUGUGUUGCAUCUUGCGAGAAUGGCUUUGUUUAUUUUGCCUCGAUCACCACGCAUAACCAACUCUGAAU